rnacentral:lncRNA from 1 species
AUGGCAGCAGGAUUUCAAUCUGCUCCUGAAAGGCCAGCCACAGGUUCAGAGGCAGCAAAGGUUCUCCCUUCAAAAGUCAAACAACAAAAAAGGUCUUCUUUGAAUCCAACUCUGGAGGUAACAAUGCUUAAACAGUUGAGGACACCACAGUCUCAACUCGAACCUGUUCCUGUUCAUGUUAAUGGACAGCCACUUACAGAUCUGUGUGAUGUAUGGCCAAGACCCCAAGCCCUGAGAGUUCAUCUUCGUGUUGUCAACUGGGAUUCCAAAUCUGUCUCCUCAACCCUUAUGCAACAUGGGUGUUGGACGCUGGCAGAUUUCAUGCAGCAGCUAUUACUUUCCUUGUUUCUGAAAAGCUACAAACAAACAAAAACGUUAAGAGAAAACAGUCUAUCUGUUUGGAAGCUGUAGUGAAGACAAUAUGUGUUUUUUUUUAAUACCUUGAAAAUGUGAUAACUGUGCUCUCCAGGCAGAAACCAGCUAGUAACAUAGUUUUGUGAUCAUUCAAGAAAGUAUUAGGCAUUUUUAAAUUUUUGGAGAUUUUAUAGAUUUUAUAUAUAUAAUCUGUCACUGAAAGAUAACUUUCUACUUGAGUUCAAUUCAUCAAGUUUCUGUAAACAGCUUAUGACCAAUGCAAAACCCACCAAUAACACUACCUCUUCACAGUGAGCAUUGAAGUUCAGUGCGUAUAACAGCGCACUUACAACUUGGGUGGGUUGUGCCCAAAUUCAGUUUACACUUUAACCUAAAUCCAUCAAGUGCAGAGUACAUGAAAUUGUCAAAUUUUACAAUGAUAGGCUCACUGUGAAAUGAGCAUUGUACUACUGCUGUACAGUGCUGGGGCUCCUUUCUAGGAGCUAGGCCAAACUAUUAGCCCUUAAUUGAAUGUGUAGUGUCCAUUCACUGUGUCAACACUAAAGUAUUUUGAGUAAUAGGAUGAGUUGGCUUUGGCUUCUUUUCAUUGGCUGGACCACAUCUGGAUAUGUGAAGCAAUGCUUUACAUUAUGAGGUAGAGGCUGAGGGAAUAAAGUCAGGCUACAGAGAUACA